rnacentral:rRNA from 1 species
GAUGAACGCUAGCUACAGGCUUAACACAUGCAAGUCGAGGGGCAGCAUGGUCUUAGCUUGCUAAGGCCGAUGGCGACCGGCGCACGGGUGAGUAACACGUAUCCAACCUGCCGUCUACUCUUGGACAGCCUUCUGAAAGGAAGAUUAAUACAAGAUGGCAUCAUGAGUCCGCAUGUUCACAUGAUUAAAGGUAUUCCGGUAGACGAUGGGGAUGCGUUCCAUUAGAUAGUAGGCGGGGUAACGGCCCACCUAGUCUUCGAUGGAUAGGGGUUCUGAGAGGAAGGUCCCCCACAUUGGAACCGAGACACGGUCCAAACUCCUACGGGAGGCAGCAGUGAGUAAUAUUGGUCAAUGGGCGAGAGCCUGAACCAGCCAAGUAGCGUGAAGGAUGACUGCCCUAUGGGUUGUAAACUUCUUUUAUAAAGGAAUAAAGUCGGGUAUGGAUACCCGUUUGCAUGUACUUUAUGAAUAAGGAUCGGCUAACUCCGUGCCAGCAGCCGCGGUAAUACGGAGGAUCCGAGCGUUAUCCGGAUUUAUUGGGUUUAAAGGGAGCGUAGAUGGAUGUUUAAGUCAGUUGUGAAAGUUUGCGGCUCAACCGUAAAAUUGCAGUUGAUACUGGAUAUCUUGAGUGCAGUUGAGGCAGGCGGAAUUCGUGGUGUAGCGGUGAAAUGCUUAGAUAUCACGAAGAACUCCGAUUGCGAAGGCAGCCUGCUAAGCUGCAACUGACAUUGAGGCUCGAAAGUGUGGGUAUCAAACAGGAUUAGAUACCCUGGUAGUCCACACGGUAAACGAUGAAUACUCGCUGUUUGCGAUAUACUGCAAGCGGCCAAGCGAAAGCGUUAAGUAUUCCACCUGGGGAGUACGCCGGCAACGGUGAAACUCAAAGGAAUUGACGGGGGCCCGCACAAGCGGAGGAACAUGUGGUUUAAUUCGAUGAUACGCGAGGAACCUUACCCGGGCUUAAAUUGCAGAUGAAUUACGGUGAAAGCCGUAAGCCGCAAGGCAUCUGUGAAGGUGCUGCAUGGUUGUCGUCAGCUCGUGCCGUGAGGUGUCGGCUUAAGUGCCAUAACGAGCGCAACCCUUGUUGUCAGUUACUAACAGGUUCCGCUGAGGACUCUGACAAGACUGCCAUCGUAAGAUGUGAGGAAGGUGGGGAUGACGUCAAAUCAGCACGGCCCUUACGUCCGGGGCUACACACGUGUUACAAUGGGGGGUACAGAGGGCCGCUACCACGCGAGUGGAUGCCAAUCCCCAAAACCUCUCUCAGUUCGGACUGGAGUCUGCAACCCGACUCCACGAAGCCGGAUUCGCUAGUAAUCGCGCAUCAGCCACGGCGCGGUGAAUACGUUCCCGGGCCUUGUACACACCGCCCGUCAAGCCAUGGGAGCCGGGGGUACCUGAAGUGCGUAACCGCGAGGAGCGCCCUAGGGUAAAACUGGUGACUGGGGCUAAG